GAAACUAGAACAGAUGGUGGAGAAACAGGUAGAAAUGGGGCUGGGGAAAACAGAACAGAAUAGUGUUGCAGGACUAUGUUCCUGCAUGUUAUUGGGUUAGCAGAAAGGACUACAUUUUUGCCUUUUAUACUCCGCAACAUUCUGAGGAGGAAAAGUGCUGAGGGAAAAAUGAACAGGGUAUCCCAAGACUUUCUGGCUUAUCAUAUACCAUAUUAUCUGGCUUAAAUGUUUACCGGGAUGGCACGUCAGGCCAAAAACCUGGAUCUGGUGUCCUCCUGUCUCCUUGGUCAAAGUCUAGCCACCGUCUCUCUGAGAACUGGUAAAGCCCUGGAAGCACAUCUACAUUUCUCCUGGGUGCACAGCCUCCGUGGUUCAACUUAGUUACGCCACAAAUCUGUUCCUGUCCUGGUGCACACCACAGUAGGUGCAUGGAGACAUCCAGCAAACCUGUGGUACUACACAUUUCUAACCUUUUCUCUGGGUUUUCUUCUCCUGAUGUACAUUUAAGGUCCUACAAUUUCAAAAAUGCUCAACUGCAGGAUUAUGUGGGUUUCUACCCUUGGCUUUCUGAGGGCCAUGCAUUAUGCAUCAACUUCUGGAGUUUUCCCACAGGAAAUGCCCAACAGUUCAUCCACGGAGAAACCUGGGAAUAAUCAACUCAAUCAUUUAUCUUAUAUUCAGUAGAAAAAGAUAAGUCUGCUGGAGGCUGAAGACAUUAGAGAAACAUAAGAUACAAUAAGUAGCCUAGGGCAGAUGGACAGACAGUAUGCUAAUAAGGUAGGCAGAACUAGCCUAAUCAGCAGCCAUUCCUUAAAACACAAUCCAAGACCAAAUAAUAAUAAUAAUAAUAAUAAUAAUUUUGCUUCUGCUUAUUCCAAGAGUUGCUUUUUUUUCUAAUUUGAGUUAUAGAACUCUAAAUAAAAAUUCUUAGAAUAAAAAUAUUACACUUUUAAUGAAGAAAUUGGCAAAAUAAAUUGGUUUGGUUGCAUAACCCACCUCUCCCCAUGGCACAAAUUAUUUUUAACUGUUUCUAAUUUCUGUUGAAUGAGUCAUAUAAAUUAAGCACUAUUUCAACAGAAGUGCAUUUGUACUUCUUUUGAGUCUUUUAGCCUGACAAAUAGGCAUGUUUUGACUUAACAUCUGUGAUGACUCUGAGCAACAGAUCCCACUUUGAAGCUGGCCCUGCACUUAGCAGGAGGCUGGACCAGCUGAGCUGCACAAGUCCCUUCCAAUCUAAAGUAAUUCUAUUCUAAUAGACUGGCUACAAACCAUUCCCAUCUUCCUGCUUUUACAAUUUAACCAACAUUGAUGGAAAAUGAUGGUAAAACAUAACAGCACUGAGAUCAAGCAAGCCUUACUUUGUGAUGGCAUAUACGUGUGUGAAAAUGUAUUAUCGUCUGGUAUUAUAGAAAAAGGGAUAUGCUUUGGGGGGACUAAAACUCAUGUAUUCAUUUCUUUUUCAUUAAAAUUUCUGCUUGACCAUGGAAACUAGCACUUCUUACAAAAAUAAAUAAAAUAAUUGAU
rnacentral:lncRNA from 7 species